GUAUCAGCUUGGAAGUCAAAGGGGAAUUGAUACAUAUGUCUUGUGAUAGUCUGGCCAUGGUCUGAAAGGAAGAAGAGCUAGAAAUUAGAAGCCAUAAAAAUUUGGCAUGUCCUCAAAACCCAUUCCUGGCAGAGUGAAUGCAGGAGCUGGGAAAAACAUCUAAAGGGGCCAAGAGACUGUCUUCUUGUCUCAAUAUUUAUUGUCUACGAAACACAAUAAAUCCAGCCCAUCAUGCAAAAUGAUAGAGGAGACCUGACACGUCUUCAUUUUGCCUUUACUGAGCGGGUAUCCACAGAGACAAGUGGAGGGAGUCUGCACCAGUGUUAGUAGGAUGGGUAAGAAAGUAGUGAGAAGAGGGAAAAAAGAAAGAUGUGAACUCAUAUCCAAGUCAUACCCAGUUCUCAUUGGAGCUACAGAAACUAACUCCUUUUGGUCAGGACCCAAAAAAUAAAAAAAUAAAAAAAAUUAGAAUCUCA